UGGGGAAUCUUCCGCAAUGGACGAAAGUCUGACGGAGCAACGCCGCGUGAGUGAAGAAGGUUUUCGGAUCGUAAAACUCUGUCUUUUGGGGCGAACGUGAGUAUGGUGAACAAUCAUAGUCAGUGACGGUACCAAAGGAGGAAGCCACGGCUAACUACGUGCCAGCAGCCGCGGUAAUCGUAGGUGGCAAGCGUUGUCCGGAAUUAUUGGGCGUAAAGAGCGCGUAGGCGGGAUAGUCAGUCUGUUGUAAAAGUGCGGGGCUCAACCCCGUGAUGGCAAUGGAAACAGCUAUUCUUGAGUGCAGGAGAGGAAAGUGGAAUUCCCAGUGUAGCGGUGAAAUGCGUAGAUAUUGGGAGGAACACCAGUGGCGAAGGCGACUUUCUGGACUGUGUCUGACGCUGAGGCGCGAAAGCCAGGGGAGCGAACGGGAUUAGAUACCCCGGUAGUCCUGGCCGUAAACGAUGGGUACUAGGUGUGGGAGGUAUCGACCCCUUCCGUGCCGGAGUUAANGCAAUAAGUACCCCGCCUGGGGAGUACGGUCGCAAGACUG
rnacentral:rRNA from 1 species